GACGUGGUCCCAGCCGGGUGUCCUGACGCUCGGGGUUCAGGACAAGGGCACACAACUGGUUCCGUUAAGCCCCUCUCUCGCUCAGACGCCAUGGAGCUGGAUCUGUCUCCACCUCAUCUUAGCAGCUCUCCGGAAGACCUUUGCCCAGCCCCUGGGACCCCUCCUGGGACUCCCCGGCCCCCUGAUACCCCUCUGCCUGAGGAGGUAAAGAGGUCCCAGCCUCUCCUCAUCCCAACCACCGGCAGGAAACUUCGAGAGGAGGAGAGGCGUGCCACCUCCCUCCCCUCUAUCCCCAACCCCUUCCCUGAGCUCUGCAGUCCUCCCUCACAGAGCCCCAUUCUCGGGGGCCCCUCCAGUGCAAGGGGGCUGCUCCCCCGCGAUGCCAGCCGCCCCCAUAGCGGGGUUUGGAGGACCACGAGUCCGUGGUGGAAGUGCAGGCUGCCUGGCCCGUGGGCGGAGAUAGCCGCUUCGUCUUCCGGAAAAACUUCGCCAAGUACGAACUGUUCAAGAGCUCCCCACACUCCCUGUUCCCAGAAAAAAUGGUCUCCAGCUGUCUCGAUGCACACACUGGUAUAUCCCAUGAAGACCUCAUCCAGAACUUCCUGAAUGCUGGCAGCUUUCCUGAGAUCC
rnacentral:sRNA from 1 species